rnacentral:hammerhead_ribozyme from 1 species
AUUCAGCUGACGAGUUCGAAAUAGGACCAAACACGUAUCCUGGAU